rnacentral:lncRNA from 1 species
UAAGAUUGGGAGGUGAUCCCAUUAACUUAAUCUGGGGCCAACUGAGCUCUUGACAGACCCAAAAUGGGCCGAAUGGAUCAGUCCAUUUGGACCCAGAAUUCCUAGUUGACGGUGGCACCGCCCAGGAGACUCGGUCUCCUAGGAGUUUUGGGCGGUAGUACCGCCCUAUUCAGGCGGUAGUACCGUCAAAGCUCGGUCUCUGAGCUCUGGUAGGUGGUGG